UUUGAUCCUGCAGCUCUCAGUCUAGUUUUUAUUUCUUCAAGAAAGUCUUCCCUGACCAAUCUGAUUAAUUUUUCUCUAUUCAUGUUUCCAUAGCUGAAUGGACCUCCUCUUGCUACUGCAUGCUUGUGACUCAAGAACAGAAGUGAAAGGAAGUGUCGGUCUUCUGCACUCUGCCACAGCAAGAAAAAUAUGAGCCCAAAUCCACCAGGUCCCCCUGACUCAAAGCCUAACCCGAAACACAGAGAAAUCACGUACACUCAUGCCUUCUUCAAACUUCGCUUUUCAGAUCUGGAAGCUAAAAGACGCAGCAACAAUGACUACAUGAAAACUGCUUAAGACCUUUCUUAAAACAGGCAGUGAACUGGUUCUUUGUAAUAAGAGGAUGAAGCAGAAUAUUCCAUAUUUAAUUAGCAAUCUUAAGAAAGUGAAUUAACACCUUCCUUCUGAGGUGUUGCCAGUCAAACACAGUUGGAUUCCCAUUUUUUGGAGGCUUGGAGGCCUGUUUGGGAGAGGUCAUUGACAGUAAAUUGCUAGGACACAUGAUACAAGGCAUCACACAAGGAAACAUUGUGGAAGCUAACAUUUUUCCACAAAACACAAGAGAGAAAACAGAAGCAGAUUGAACAGCAAUGGUACUUAGUGUUACCCCCAGCUUAUAAAUUCCUUUUGGGCAGGAGUGCUAUAUAAUUCAUUUUUGAAUUUCCCUAAUGGCACAUGCUCGGGCACAUUGAAGGCAUUCGAUAUAUGUUUGUUAUUUUUUAACAAAAUUGAAUGGGAAUUGAAAUUUAGUGUGAUAAGAAAAGAUAACCCAUGUAUUUGAGUGUUUAUAUUUUGUAAACCUUGCUCUAAUCGUGCAUCAAGCUGUUAGUAAUUAGUAAAUGCUCAAAGAACUAUUUGUUGUGAAAUUAGUAAAAUUAUUCUCUGAAACAGCAUCUGAUACCAUAAAUACCUCUUAAGACUUUUCAUCAGUGUGCUAAGCUAUGCUUUUAUGCUUGUAGAUAGUAAAAAAAAAAAAAUCUUCUUCUGAAGGCUUUCUGAAUUCUUUCUUCACAUCACAAUGUAAUGUAUUUUCAAGGUUACAUUAGUUACUAUAUUUAUACAUGAAUUUGUGUGUAGAUGUAUAUGUGUAUAUACACUCAUAUAUUAUACAUCACAUAUUUACAUAUAACUGUCAUAUAUAUGAACUUUUUAAAUACAAAAACAUAAUCUAUACUCCAUGUAACACUUCCCCACUAACACACAUACCAAUAUAAAGAGUCAUUUUACUCAUUACUAAACAAACAAAAAAUAGUUCUUGAAACCAAAACCCAUAAUGUAUACUUUGUGUUUCCUUGGUUAUCCUCAUCUAGAAAAAGUCUCUCUGAGUGACUCACACGGCCACAAGGAAUCAUUGCCAUUAAAUUGGCAGCAGUUUUCUGAAAUGUGGCAUGGUGAUGACAAGGGAAUGAAUAUUUUAUCUAAUUCCUGCCUAACAAAUGUAAACUUUCAAAUUAAUUGAAGAUAGAAAAGAAAACACUCUGGGCACUAUUUUAUAAACUUAAUACCUCCUUUAAUUACCUCGGCAAUUCCCUGAGUAGUGACGUGGGGACCUUAGCUGCUCCCAUCCUAUCACUAAGCCAUCUUUAUUGUGCCUUCCAAGGUUAACACAAAAAGGAUAAAGGUCUGAAGAAUUUCAUGGAGUUUUUCUAAGACUUCCUGGAAUUUUUUCUGAAUCUCUCCCACUCAUAUCCCAUCAGCCAGAUGUCACAUAGCCAUAUGCAAGGGAAGCUGGGAAAUAGAGUCUUCCUCUGUGUGUCCCAGGAAUGAGGACACAUGGUAAGCCAGAUUUUAUCAGAGUUAAAGGCAGCACUGUCCCUGCCAUAGUUACUAUUAUCAUUACCCCUUAGAGUUACACCACAUCAACAUUAUCUUUUACGUUUUAGCCAAACGAUUAACUCUACAGUGAAACCUUCCAAUAAUGUGCCCCACAGAAUAAAAACCCAGGCACGAGUCAGUCAUUCACAGCAACUGGCUAACUCUGGUCACCUCAAAAACUUCACAAUAGGGCAACCCUAUAUUUUAUGUGAUUAAUUGUUUUGGACCCAAGCUAUAAUGCUAUGGCUAGUUUCUACUAUAUUUAUAAUACCUUUUUGAAUGUGUUAAUAGUUCCCAAGAAGUACAGUCAAAUCUGUCCUCUAGUGUGAGUCACUAAAAGUGAUUAUUGAUGAACCAUAGGUUGCUGGAGAAGCUGAAUUAUAGUGUAUCAAUUUGUGAUGAUAUAUAAAGAAUGAGAAUGAGAUGAAGUAAAAAUAUAGAAAUAACAUUCUGAUUCCACCCCUUAUUAACUUUAUGUCUCAGUGUCUCAGUUUCCUUAUCUAUAAUUUAUAUCUGUAUGAAAUAAAAAAAUAGAGCAAAUAAUGCUGACAUUUUGUCUAGUAUUAAGGAAUAAAUAUAGUCAUAUUUAAUUAUUAAAAUAACUCUAAAAUAAACACAAUUUCUAUUCCUAUUUUAUGUAAAAAGAAGCUAAAGUUAUAUAACUUGUCCAAGGUCACACAGCUAGGAAGUGUUAGAAAUAGGAUUCAAACUCAGAUCUAUAUGAUUCCAAAGUCCAGAAUCCAUCAUGCUCCUUCUUAAAGAACUCUGCCAUUUUCGAAAUCAGCAGCAAUGUUGAUAUGGUUUGGUUCUGUGUCUUCAUCCAAAUCUCAUGUAGAAUUGUAAUUCCCAGUGUUGAAAGAGGGCCCUGGUUGUGGAUGAUUGAAUCACAGGGGCAGACUUCCCUCUUGCUGUUCUUGUGAUACAGUGCUCACAAGAUCUGAUUACUGGAAAGCGCGUGACACUACACCCUUAGCUCUCUCUCUCUGCCGUGUGAAGAAGGAGCUUGCCUCCACUUUGCCCUUCAGCCAUAAUUCCAAACCCUACCAGAGAGCAGAGGGCAAGGAACCCCUGAAGACAUCAGGAGGGCCAGACUUCAGGUCACAGGACCGAACACUGAAGCAGGAGAAAGAUGGUCCAGGAAAGCACAUCCCAGUCAAAGAAACUUACAGAAGACAACUGUAGUCCAAGAUUCUGAAUGGAUGCCGAGUCGCCAAGUAAUUGGGGAAAAAUGUGUGUGUUUAUGUGUGUGUGUCUAUAUUUUCACCUACUCAAUUUUGCAAUGUGGCAUUUAAACACUAUAUCUACAGGUCAAAAAUUAUUGCUUUUGGUCAUAGGUCACAAAGUUUAAACUAAAAAUACCACUUAUUCAUUGCAAAUGCUCCAUUUAAUUCCUGGCCCAAUAUCUGAUCUAUUAGAAACCCAGCUUCAUGACAAUCUGCCCAGGAGAGUCUUUUUCCCCCUGACUCUCACUAGAUCUCCUAGAUCUCCUACUGCCUCUAUGUAAUCCAAUCUGUCUCACUGGCCCCAAACUGAAAUAGGGUCCUGAAGUGCUCUCUACAGAAAUAAGAGGAGCCUUUAUCCUAACUAGACCUCUGACUGCUCUGAACAACCAGCUCCUCCUGGGAGUCUGCAAACCAGGUAACUGUCCUUGCUCAACCAGAGUUUCCAGGAUCUCCUGGCAAAUCUUUGUUCCUCUCUGCUGGACUUUUAAUCUCCUCUGGGCCUUCCUUUCUCCCUUGCCAAGUCUGAGUCCUGUAGUUGAUCAUCUAAACUCUCCUCCCUCCAGCAUUUUCAACACUCUCUCAUUCCUGUUAUUCUGCCACUCCCCACUCAUAAAACCCCAAGCCUAGCAUGUGUUGUUUACUCCAUGCCUUCACCUCAGCAGCUGAGUCCAGGUGUUUGGACUGGCACUAAUGCACACUUAAGGUGAUAAUCUCAGCUGGCUGUUUGGCAAUGUCCAUUGGUCCUUUUCCUUGUGCUUAUCAGCAGCUGCUAUCAUUAAAUCCAAUUGAAUCUACUCUCAGAACAUGACUGAACCUCCUAUAUUAUCAGGGAUACCCGAUGACCUCACAUCCCAUUUACCUCAAUUCUCUACUAAUUCCUUACUCCUACCACACUAUCUACAUCUAUACUGGGUGAUAUGUCUUCCAGCCCACAGAGAAAGUGAUUCUUUUUCUGCUCAAGGAUAGCCUAUUCACCUGGGCCCCCUCUUAAACCUUUAACCAUGGGAGAACCACAAUAUUUCAGUUAUCUCAAGAUAUGGGGUAGUUUUAGCCUCUUCUUUCCUAUUGAUUCACUGUCUUGAGCCUAAAAACAAACUCAAGUCUCCUGUAGCUGAACUCAAUCAAUUUCUGAGAGAAUAAAGCUCAAUGCCUCAAAGCAUCAAUUGCAUCUAAUGAACUAACUUUGCACCUCUGCAUCUAAACGGAAACUGUGCUUGCUAGGUUGCCCACAACCAGAAACCUAUUAAUAGAUGACUCUCCAAGAAAAAAAGCAUUUACCAAUACUCAUGGUAUAAAUACUCCCACCACAGUUGAUUUCAAGCCACCAAUAUGAUGUUAUGAAACACAGAAUUGGGAAGAGAUGUGGACACUAUUAUAUAAUAUUUCCACCAUCAGAUAUAAGAGGCAUAAAUGACCUUGAGAUCAUACAUAGUAAUAAAAUGUAUGAAAAUAAUUCAGAAGUGAUGAGUUUUGAGUAUUUAUUACCUCUUUUUAAAUGAUUAAUUUUAUUAUAAGUUUAUAUCGUUGGAUUAUUAAUCAUAGCUUCCCUUAACAACUGACUUGCAAAAUUCUAAAAAUUUAAGAAGCAGCUCUAACAAGCCAGUAGCAAUAGCUCCAACAUAGCAUUGGGUCAGGCUGUUAAUGAACUCCCUUCUUCUUGAAACCUGAUUGCUUCUAUGCAUCCUGCAAUUCUACUUUGUCUGCAGUCUCUUCAUGUCUUUUUAGUGGUGUCUUUUUUGUUCUCUGUGAGGUCUUUCUCUGCUCUCUGCCUAAGAAAAUCGGUGCUACCAAAAUUUCUGUAUUCAAUCAACUGAUCUCACAUUGUAUACACUCUUUGAUAGCUCUCCUUUAUUCCUAUUUUAAUUUUGGCUAAUAGUACCAUUAUUCACCCAGAUGAUUAAGGCAGACCACUGCAAGUCAUCGUUGAACAUUUCCAGUUCUUUCAUAUCCCACAAUCAUAUCUUAUUUUACAUCCUAAAUAUACCAUGUAGCCUUUCCUCUGCUUCAUUCCUGUGACAGUUGUUCUAAUGCAGGCCCUUAUCUUACUAAAACAGUUUUCAAAUGAAUCUAGAUUUCUCCAUUCUUGUCUAUUCUCCUCAGCAGCUACCAUAGUGAUUUAGUAAAAUUUAUAUAUAAUUAUGACAUUUCUUGAUUAAAUCCUUUCAAUGGCUCCCCAUUACCUACUGCAUAAUUACAUUACAACAUAAAUCCAUUCUUUAUUUGGCCUCUGCCUAACCUCACCAGCCUCAUCUUUCACUACUUCCUUCUUUAUUUAUAUUUUAUGCUUUACCAAUAUCAAAAUGAUAAUAAUUGCCUCCACAACCAGCUCCUGCCCUCCUCUAUGAUUUAACUCAAGCUAUAAAAUUUUUGUUCCUGGAAUACCUUGCCCCAUCAGUUUUCAUCUGUCCAUAUCUCUAUCCAAUUUUAAGUCUUAGAUCAGAUACCACAAUACCAUCUCUCUUCCAGGAAAACAUUCCUAAUCCCCUAUUAUGGACUAAGUGUCUGGGGCAGCAUGAAAACGAGACAGUCACAUCACCUGCUCUGGGGCAUAUGAUGGACUGAUGGCCCCAGAUCCUACCCCUUUGGAUACGCCAGUGUAUCCCUGUUGAGGUCAUGUUCUGUGCAAGUUGCUACAGGCCAAUUACAGAGUAUACUGGAGAAACUAAGACACUCCCAUUCUUAUGGGAAGCAGUAUUCCUCCAGUGAAUGACUUUGAUUUGCCCUGGCUGAACUUUUCUGGAAUUACAGUGCAGUCUAAGAUACUUUAUUUUCCAAGUCUCCUUCCUUCCCUCUCCUUCCACAGGUGUAAGUCAGCAAAGUACCUCCACAUACCAUACACACACACCCAAGGAUACAAUCAUACGCAUAAUUUUAAAUUAUGUAUUGAAUUCUGAUUCUUUUCACGCAUUAUUUUUGAGAUAGAUAAUUUUUCUGAAAUGGAGACUAGUAUUCUGAUUUUGCAGAUGGAGAGACUGAUGCUUCAACAGAUGAGGCAUUCUACUGAAAGCCACAAAACUGAUGACAGAGCAAGAGCUUACACUCAGGUGUUUUGAACCUUCACCCCAACAUCUCUUGCUCAUUUUUGGGUCACCAACUCCCAGAUAUCAUUCAAGUAGAAACUGGAUGACUUUCUGGCAGAAGUGUUACUGAGCAGAUUUAUUCUAGGGGUGAAGGUGGGACUGAAUGCCAGGUGGCUCCUCUUCUCAUUCUGUAUCUCCAGGAGACACUUAGCCCUUGCUUCUGUACUGAAACCUACAAUGAAAUUCAAUCCCCUGCUGCAGACUCUGAAUAGUAAUUGCUAUUAUAGGCAGGAAACAUAACAAUGAAAACAUUUAAACCUCCUGUUGUUAAGAAUCUUUAGGUCAAUAGCAGCAUUUUAAAAUCAAUUUGAGCGUUUGCUGGAAGAUACAGAAAAGAAACUACAAUCAACAUAGUAAGGUUAGAUAACCCUAGUCAUGUUAACAGCUACCUAAAACUUGACAUCAAUUCCUUACAUUGAUUCUCAUUUACAGUUUACAAAAAAAAAAAAAAAAGAAAGAAAAAAUUAGGAAGGACAAGCAUAAAAAUAAUCUCAAUGAAGCAUCAAAUUAGUAUAAAUAAUGAUGAAGAGUAAUUGCUGCUGUUACUGGAGAACAUGUUGUAAAUGAGGUUUUCAAGAUAUCUGCUAAUGAUGAGAGGCUUUUGCAGUUUUGAAAUUCAGAGAAGGAAAAGCGAAACUGGAAUUCACGGCGCUAGAUAUAGGGUCAGAUUUGUCCUCCCCCAGGAGUAGCUGCUUCAUCAGAUUUGGGGGGACUAGUGCCACCUGGUGACUAGCACUGUGCUAGGCAUGGCAAGGGUUACAAAGAUGGGCGGUAAGUAUUAAGUUGGUGCAAAAGUGAUUGUGAUUGACUUUUGCAAUUACUGCAAUUAGUUUUCUGCAAUUACUUUUGCUCCAACCUAAUAGAAAGCUGAGCCCAAAGUCACAAUCUUGUGUUUGCAGCCUGCCUCCACCAGUUAUAAGAUUAUCUGACAUUGUUUCUAUCUCUGUCUUCUAGCUAUCGAUAGAUAUACAUAUGUAAAAUAUGUAUAUUAUAUAUAUAUGAAAUAUAUAGCAUGUCAUCACCAGAUAUUAUGUAUACAUAAAUGCAUUAUAUAUAAUGUAUAUUUUACUUACUGAUUUAUAUUCUAUCUUCUCACACCAGAGUGUAAGUUCCAAGAGGGGUAGGAGUAUUGAUAAGCUAACAUACUCCUAGCUUCUAGAAUAAUAGAAAAGUAUCCAGUACAUAGUAGGCACUUGAUAUUCAUGGAAUCAAUUUCUUACCUGUUAAAAGUUCCUUAUGUAGUUUUCCCACCUUUAAUUACCCCUUGAUACUUUACCAACAUCUGUUCUUCGCAUUGUUACCAGAGUCACUGUUUAAGAAAUAAAUCAAUUGCCUUUCCUUCGCAAUAAAAAAAGGAAAGAGAUGUGGUAGUAAGUGAAUGAGAAAGAAAUUUUUCUAAAAAUGAAAAUCCG
rnacentral:lncRNA from 10 species